GAGAAAGCGAACAGCGUACGUGACUAACCAAGCUAUUAAGAUGGCCGUCAUUACCGAUGUAAUUCGUGUUACAAAAUAAGGGAGUGUAAAGAUUCAGAUUCAGUAGUUAAAAUUUAUGAAUUGGAUGAAGUAAUUGACGAGGAGAAAAGUUGACUGCGUUAAUAAAUGGAUAAUCGAGUAAUUUGUAAACAAAUAACUAAGUCGGAUUGAAGCAAUUGAAAGAUAAUUAAUUGAAAACUUACAAUU